rnacentral:lncRNA from 1 species
UUCUCUCAGCCGUUCCAUCUUCCUAAACAUCUUUAGGGUUUUUUACAUUGCAGCCGCCUGUUCUUCUCCGUGUUCAAUCUUUCAUCUCAAUGGUACACACUCAAAACCCUAGCGCCUCCCUCACUUUUUCUGCAGAUCCAUAUGUUGGAAUGGAAGAGUUUCACAAUCACGAAACCCUAGCCCUCAUCAUCUUCCCUGUUUUGAUUCAAGAAGCUAGGGUUUGUGGUUUUGGUUGUUAAGGGAUCGUAGCUUCUUGCGUAAAGUACUAAAGUGUUGAAAACAAGAAAAUCAGAUCCACUAAAGGAUGUAAUAUUGGGCUGCUGGUUUUAGUGAUCUAAGCCCCUCAGAAAUUGAUUGCCCCCCAAACAAACGCAGGGAUGAUCCCAAUGAGGUUUGUGAAUAAAGAUGGUUACAAUUAAUCCAAAAGAGUAUUCUUUGCAUACAAGCUGUGUGAGUUAGCAAGAAGUGGCGUGCCACCUUAUAUUGGCCCUAAUGUGUGGAGGCUUCUCUUGAUUUAACCAUCAAAUUGUACAAAAGUGCCCUUCUGAUGCUAGAGCAUUCAAAAAGUAUGGAUUUAGAUGACAAAAUAUUGGAGAAGACUUUGAUAGACCUGGCGGAGUUGCUUCAUGUUGUAGGAUGGUAUGAUUUAUAUGUCCUAGAUUUUUCACACUUACAGGUCAAUAUUCAGGUUGUAAUUUAUUGAUAACGGGUCAAGCAUGUCUUAUGUAGAAAAGUAGAUGAUAAUGAAAUGGGUCAACAAUUCGGAUGAGUGUAAAAUGGGCUGAAAGUUACCAAACUUGUAUUUAAAUGAUAUCUUUUAAGUCAUCUUAUUUAAAAGAGUUUAUCUUAUGGUUAAAAUCAUAGCUUUGU